GCUGGGCAUAGGGGCAUGCACCUGUAGUCCCAGCUACUCAGGGGGCUGAGGCAGGGGGAUCACUUGAGCCCAGGAGUUCAAGGCUGCAGUGAGCUAUGAUGGUGCCACUGCAUUCUAGCCUGGGCAACAGAGUGAAACACUGUCUCUA
ensembl:misc_RNA Metazoa_SRP Metazoan signal recognition particle RNA